UUUUUUGGGGGGGUGGAAUCCAAAAUUCCAAAAAAUUGGAAUUCCAAGCGCCAACGAAUCCCGGCGGGGCUGUGAUUCCCGGCUCUCCGUUUCCAAUGGAAAAGCGGGAAUUCGGGAAGCGCGCGGGGGUGGUGGUGGGGGGAGCGGCGGUUUCCCGGGAGCCGUUCCCGGAGCGACGGGAAUCGCCUCUGGAAAAGCUGGAAAAGGGAGCAUGGGAUGGCUCCGCCGCCUCCUCAGCCAGCUCUCCUGUGAGGAUCCGCCGGGAAUGGGGUUCGGGAUUGGGGAUUCGGGGUUCCCGGGAUUGGGGAUUGGGGAUGGAAGCGCCGUUUUCCCCAGGAUUUCCUCCCCAAACUUGUGGGAAUGAGGUUGGGAAAGGGCCGGGGUGAGCGCGGCUCCUUCCCAACCGCCCCGAGAUUCCCAGCGGGAAUUUUCGGGGAUCCUCUCUCCCACACCCCACACACAGCCCGGGAGAUUCCCGGCCUGGCGGAUCCCCCCGGAUCCCCCCGGAUCCCCCCGGAUCCCUCCGGAUCCCGGAGCGUGGGAAUUGCGCAUCUCCUCCUGUGGGGGAGGCGCUGCCGGAGCUCGGGAAUUGCUGCCGGGGAUGGGAAUGAGAAUCCGGGGGGGGGAUCUGGGGAUCCGCUAUGGGAUCCACUCGGGGACCCCGGAAUCCGCUCAGGGAUCUGCUCCGGGAUCCGGGAUCUACUAUGGGAUCCACUACGGGAUCCGCCCAGGGAGCCGGGGAUCAGCUCAGGGGUCUGGAGAUCUGCUCAAGGAUCCACCCGGGGACCCAGGGAUCUGCUCCGGGACCCGGGGAUCCGCUCUGGGAUCUGGGGAUCCUCUCGGGGAUCAGCUCAGGGGUCUGGGGAUCUGCUCAAGGAUCCACCCGGGGACCCAGGGAUCUGCUCCGGGAUCCGGGGAUCCGCUACGGGAUCAGCUCCGGGACCAGGAAUGUCGGGAUCCUCGGCCUCUUCCUCUUCCCUUUUUUUCUGCCGCUUCCUCAAACGGGCUCUCCGUGAUCCCAACAUUCCCGGGAUCCUUCCCGGGAUCCUUUCCGGGAUCCUUCCCGGGAUCCAUCCCGAGGGAAAACUCGGCGGAACCAGCGGGAUUUUCCAUGGAAAAAUUUUCUUCGGGAAUUUUUUCUUCCCCCCUGCCGGUUAUCCCGGUUUUUCCGCCUUCCUGGGUGGAGGAACUGCCGGAUAUCCCACCCGGAAAAUUCCCGGAUUUCCGGGAAAAAGCCAAAAGGAUUCCGGCCCUUGGAAAAGCUGGAGGUUGGGAUUGGCUUCCGGCUGCCGGGAAUUCCCACCUGGAGCACCCCCGAGAUUCCCAAAUCCUUCCCGAUUCCAUUCCCGGGAUGUCCCUGGGACAUUCCCGCAUCCCCCGGGGCUUCCCCGAUCCCGACAUUCCCUGGACAUCCCCAUCCCGGUGAUCCGCAUCGCCCUUGGAAUCCCUGGAAUGCCCCAAGGGAUCCCAAACAUUCCCAAUUCCCUUCUCCGGGAAAAUUCCGGCAGAUCCCGGGUGAUUCCCGGCGCUCGGAAUUCCCGAAUUCCCGAACUUUCCACCUCCCCCCAGCCCGGGAGCUCAUCCCGCUUUUCCCAGCUGCCCGGAAUUUUGGGAAGCGGCUCCCGCUCCCAUUCCCGAGGCUUUUCCCGAGGCUGGGAUCGGAUCCCGGCUGGAUCCCGCGGGAUCCAGCCGAACUCCGGGACCCCCUCACCCAGCGCGGGGCUUCGGGAAUGCGGAUCCCAGGGAAUCCCUUGGAAAACUCCGGAGUCGGGCCCCAAAAAAAUCCCUCCCGGCAAAAAUCCCGGGAUUUCCCGGCGGGAAAAGUGGGAAGCACCAGGAAGGAGCCUUGGAUGGGGCUGGGAUGGCUCCGGAGGGAAGGAAGAGCUACAGGAAAAACGGGAUACAGGUGGAAAACGGGAUACAGGUGGAAAAUGGGAUACAGGUGAUGAUGGGAGCAGGGAAAAGUGGGAUUCAGGGAAAACGGGAAGCUGGGAAAAUGGGAUAAAGGGAAAACGGGAUACAGGUGGAAAACGGGAUACAGGGAAAACGGGAUACAGGGAAAACGGGAACAGGGAAAACGGGAUACAGGUGGAAAACGGGAUACAGGGAAAACGGGAAAAUGGGAUACAGGUGGAAAAUGGGAUGAAAGAGGAGAUGGGAAGCAGGGAAAAGUGGGAUUCAGGGAAAAUGGGAAGCUGGGAAAGCGGGAUACGUGGGAAAGCGGGGAGGAGAUGGGACACGGGGAGAGGUGGGAAAAUGGGAUACAGGGAAAAUGGGAAGCCGAGGAGAUGGGAAGAGCGGGAGAAUGGGAUAGAAGAGAGAUGGGAUUCAGGGAAAACGGGAAGCCGAGGAGAUGGGAAGCGUGGGAGAAUGGGAUACAGGGAAAACGGGAUACAGGGAAAACGGGAUACAGGGAAAAACGGGAAGCCGAGGAGAUGGGAAGUGUGGGAGAAUGGGAUAGAGGAGAGAUGGGAUUCAGGGAAAACGGGAGGAUGGGAUGGGAAAAUGGGAUGGGAUGGGAAAAUGGGAUGGGAUGGGAAAAUGGGAUGGGAAAAUGGGAUGGGAAAAUGGGAUGGGAUGGGAAAAUGGGAUGAAAGAGGAGAUGGUAUACAGGGGAAAACGGGAAGCCGAGGAGAUGGGAAGUGUGGGAAUAACGGGAUAGAGGAGAGAUGGGAUUCAGGGAAAAUGGGAUACAGGGAAAAUGGGAUACAGGGAAAAUAGGAUACAGGUGGAGCUGGGAAGCAGGGAGACAUGGGAAGAGCGGGAAAAUGGGAUACAGGGAAAAACGGGAUGCAGGGGAAGAUGGGAGACAUGGGAAAACGGGAUACAGGGGGAGAUGGGAAGUGUGGGAAAACGGGAUAGAGGAGAGAUGGGAUGCAGGGAAAAUGGGAUGAAAGAGGAGAUGGGAUGCAGGGAAAAACAGGAUACAGGGAAAAUGGGAUACAGGGAAAAUGUGAAGAACAAGAAAAUGGGAUACAGGCGGAGCAGGGAAAACGGGAUACAGGGGAGAAAGGAUACAGGGAAAACGGGAUACGGGGAAAAACGGGAAGCCGAGGAGAUGGGAAGUGUGGGAAUAACAGGAUAGAGGAGAGAUGGGAUGCAGGGAAAAUGGGAUUCAGGGAAAAUGGGAUACAGGGAAAAUAGGAUGCAGGUGGAGCUGGGAAGCAGGGAGACAUGGGAAGAGCAGGAAAAUGGGAUACAGGUGGAAAAUGGGAUGGAAGAGGAGAUGGGAGCAGGGAAAAGUGGGAUGCAGGGAAAAUGGGAUACAGGGAGAGAUGAGGAGCAGGGAAAAAUGGGAUUCAGGGAAAAUGGGAAGCUGGGAAAAGGGGGUACGUGGGAAAGCGGGAGGAGAUGGGAUACAGGGAGAGGUGGGGAACGGGAAAAUGGGAUUCAGGGAAAAACGGGAUGAAAGAGGAGAUGUGAAGCGCGGGAAAACGGGAUACAGGAAAAAUGGGAUACAGGGGAGACGGGAUGCAGGGAAAAACGGGAAGCCGAGGAGAUGGGAAGCGCGGGAAAACGGGAGAGAGGAGAGAUGGGCUGGAAUUCCCGGAGAAUCCCGGAGAUGGGAUCCGAGGAAAAACUGGCGCAGCCUGGGAUGGCGGGGUGGGAAUGGGAUCGAGGAUCGGCGGAUCCCACCCCAAACCAUCCCGGGAUUCCCAGCGCCCCGGGGUGGCGGGAUCCCUAUGGACGAUCCCUUGGGAAUCUCCCGUUCCCGGUUUAU
rnacentral:lncRNA from 1 species